CUCUUGACCUCGGAUCAGGUAGGGAUA
rnacentral:rRNA from 1 species